rnacentral:rRNA from 1 species
UACGUAGGGGGCGAGCGUUGUCCGGAUUCAUUGGGCGUAAAGGGCUCGCAGGUGGCCCGCCGCGUCGUGCGUGAAAGGCCCCGGCUCAACCGGGGGGUGUCGUGCGAUACGGGCGGGCUGGAGGCCAGUAGGGGGAUGCGGAAUUCCGGGUGUAGUGGUGGAAUGCGUAGAGAUCCGGAGGAACACCGGCGGCGAAGGCGGCAUCCUGGACUGGUCCUGACACUCAGGAGCGAAAGCGUGGGGAGCGAUCCGG